AGGGAAAUAGCUCAGUGGUAGAGUGCAUGCUUAGCAUGCACGAGGUCCUGAGUUCAAUCCCCAGUACCUCCA
rnacentral:tRNA from 1 species